ACAACAAAAAAAACACCACCACCCCCCCCCCCCCUAAAUAAUAAUAAUAAAAAAAAGCCCCCAAAAGGCGCUUUCCGACCUCGCCGUCAGUAAAUCCCGGUGGUGCGUCCUUAAAGUUUGCGAGGCGAAACGCAACGGGCGCGAUGCGGGACCGGUGCGCGCCCGGCGUGCGGUCUGCAGGGGGAAAAUAAAAUAAAUAAAAAAUCAAAAAAAAAAAAAAAAAGAAAACGGGAGAAAGGAAAAAUAAAGGGGGAAAAAGCGCCCGCGGUCCCCAGGCCCCACCGAGGGGUCGGGGGGAGCAGCUCUGUGUCCCCCGGCCGGCUCUGGCCCGUCUGGCAGAGCCCCGCCGCUGCCGCUCCGCACCCGCGGAGCCGCCCCGCACCCGCGGAGCCCCGCCGGGGCGGCAGCGGGGUCCCUCGGCGGGGGUCGGGACGCUCCGGCGGGGAGAGCCAAACCCCUGGUACCUCCGAACCGCUCCCGAGUUAAAAAAUGACCUUUCCCUGCAUAAUUUUGGAGGUAACCUAGCUGCGUAAUUAUAUUUGCACUUACAGAAGACUGCAUCAGAGUUCCCUUAUUGGUUUGAAAUUCCAUUAAAUAUAUUGCAAGAGCUCCUAGGUUAAGCUUGAUUUAAAUUUGCAUACAUUUUCAUAUAUUUAGCAGAAAUAAAAGAAGGCUUGCAGCUACCAGAAAGUCAUUAAGGCAUUAGUUUCUCUGAGAAGACAGAUCUGAAGAAAAUUCAAGAAAAUGAGAAAAUAGAUAUAAAUAAGGUGGAGUUGAAUAUAAUGGCUGCAUUUGUGGUUAACUACAAGCAAUAUGUUAUGAAGAUGAUGGUAUUCAGAGACAUACCCAAACAAUUUGAUUCAGAUAAAUUGGAUACAAGAUGUUGACCAGCAUGAGAAGAACAGGCAUUGUGGAGACAGGCAUCAUCACAGAUCUGCUGGAGGAGCUCAGCAGGAGAAGAGCCAGGGCUGCACCGGUGAUGUGAAUGGUUUGAACAGAGGUCUGUGGUGGUCCAGCUCAUUGGAAACUUUUGUGCUCAAACCAGGAGGAUACUAUAGAUGGAGCUAAUCUGGUUCUCCAAUCCCACCGAGGAUGCACAGAGCUGAUCUUUAAACUGUGAUAUCUGCUGCUGCUUACCAGCCAGGAUGCAAAACUGAACAUCCAUAGCCACUGCUCUUCUGCUUCUCACAGCAGAUGUUUCUGUUCUGUAAAUAUCAAGAUUAAUAUGGUGCUGGGCCAUGUGACUGCAUUCUGCCCACAAUACUGUGUCACCUUCUGAGUAUGCUGAUGAAGCAAUAAUUGGCUAGCAAAGGAAACACUUCUCCAACCCUUUUUUUGGGAUACAGUGGGAAUAGGACUGCACAGCAGAGAAUUCAGUGUGGCAGAAGGAUGGGAAGCAUGAAGAUUUCUGAGAUAACUUGGAUGUUGCUUGAAUGCUCUUCCACCGAGCAGAAGAGAUGUUAUACUCAAAUUAUUCAUCAAAACUGAGACCUCUUAUUGAUUAUUUUAUUGGAAAGUCAAGAAAAUAACCACUGUGGUUUUUUUUUUUCCCAUAAAUAUGAAGCAGAGAUCUUGCGUAAGAGGAGACAAUAUUAAAUCAACAAAAUACCAGAAGAGUCUGAAAGGAAAAGCCUGAGGUUAGAGAGAAACUGUCAAAAGUUUUAAAAGAAGUGUUAUUAACCCAUAUUUGUAUUAAAAAUCUAUGAUAAUUUUGACUGUUAUACAGUUCACUACUGUUAGAUUAUUUGCUGAAAGUAGCUUUAUAGUCAGAAACCCCCUCAUCAUUUGUAUCCUACUUCAAGAAAUAUAUUCUAUAUCUCUUCGUUCUGAAAUCCUUAAAGACAAUAAAAAUCACCUGGACUUAUGAUGCUUGGGUGUAUUGGAAUUAGAUGCAAGUAGCUGGGUUUCCCCAGAAAUGUUAUUCUGGAAUACUUGAAUAACAUAACUUUUGGACCAGAUGCUUGGGCGAUGUGUGUCACGUGGGAGCGGGAGCACUGUGAGGUGGGUACAUGAUGUCGCUGCAUUUCCUGUACAUCACUUAGCACAGCUGAACAUCACGGCCUCGGUAAUGCCAUCCAAGAAUUUGUCAGUGACUUCAGUGGAGCUGGAAUUUCAUCCCAGGGCAGGAGCAGCUGACAGAGAGUGCCACGGGCUGGUGACCCUGAGCAACUUCAAGUCAGUGAUGUAGAAGUGCAAAAAAAUACCUUGUCACAUAACUUAUCGGCAACCCAGGGUACCCAAAUUUCAGUUUAGAUUUUCUACCAAGUUUCCAUUCAUGUUGCAACUAUGUAGAUAAGAUAUUAAGGCAUUAUUCUUAAAAAAAAGUAAAGAAUUAAUUUCUUUAAGAGA